rnacentral:rRNA from 1 species
AGGGUUUGAUCAUGGCUCAGGACGAACGCUGGCGGCGUGCCUAAUACAUGCAAGUAGAACGCUGAAGAGAGGAGCUUGCUCUUCUUGGAUGAGUUGCGAACGGGUGAGUAACGCGUAGGUAACCUGCCUGGUAGCGGGGGAUAACUAUUGGAAACGAUAGCUAAUACCGCAUGAUAUUGAAUAUCGCAUGAUAAUUAAUUGAAAGGUGCAAUUGCAUCACUACCAGAUGGACCUGCGUUGUAUUAGCUAGUUGGUGAGGUAACGGCUCACCAAGGCGACGAUACAUAGCCGACCUGAGAGGGUGAUCGGCCACACUGGGACUGAGACACGGCCCAGACUCCUACGGGAGGCAGCAGUAGGGAAUCUUCGGCAAUGGGGGGAACCCUGACCGAGCAACGCCGCGUGAGUGAAGAAGGUUUUCGGAUCGUAAAGCUCUGUUGUAAGAGAAGAACGGGUGUGAGAGUGGAAAGUUCACACUGUGACGGUAUCUUACCAGAAAGGGACGGCUAACUACGUGCCAGCAGCCGCGGUAAUACGUAGGUCCCGAGCGUUGUCCGGAUUUAUUGGGCGUAAAGCGAGCGCAGGCGGUUAGAUAAGUCUGAAGUUAAAGGCUGUGGCUUAACCAUAGUAUGCUUUGGAAACUGUUUAACUUGAGUGCAGAANGGGNAGAGUGGAAUUCCAUGUGUAGCGGUGAAAUGCGUAGAUAUAUGGAGGAACACCGGUGGCGAAAGCGGCUCUCUGGUCUG